UACGUAGGGUGCAAGCGUUAAUCGGAAUUACUGGGCGUAAAGCGUGCGCAGGCGGCUAUGUAAGACAGGUGUGAAAUCCCCGGGCUUAACCUGGGAACUGCAUUUGUGACUGCAUCGCUGGAGUGCGGCAGAGGGGGAUGGAAUUCCGCGUGUAGCAGUGAAAUGCGUAGAUAUGCGGAGGAACACCGAUGGCGAAGGCAAUCCCCUGGGCCUGCACUGACGCUCAUGCACGAAAGCGUGGGGAGCAAACAGG
rnacentral:rRNA from 1 species